rnacentral:misc_RNA from 1 species
GAUGAAGAACGUAGCGAAAUGCGAUACUUGGUGUGAAUUGCAGAAUCCCGUGAACCAUCGAGUCUUUGAACGCAAGUUGCGCCCGAAGCCAUUAGGCCGAGGGCACGCCUGCCUGGGCGUCACACGUCGUUGCCCCCCCAUCUACUCCUUCGGGAUUGCGGGGGGCGGAUGAUGGCCUCCCGUGCGCCUCGCCGCGCGGUUGGCAUAAAUGCCAAGUCCUCGGCGACGCACGCCACGACAAUCGGUGGUUGCGAAACCUCGGUUGCCCGUCGUGUGCGGUCGUCGCGCAUCUAGGGCUCGAAAAAAUUGCCGGGUUCCGGCUCGGCUUUCAACGCGACCCCAGGUCAGGCGGGGUUACCCGCUGAAUUUAAGCAUAUCAAUAAGCGGAGGA